UGGGGCGUGGUUAGUGGUGUUUGGAUCGUCCCUGCCGGCUGGCUCCGUGCCCGCCCACCGAACGGCCGGCAGGCGACCCGCGUCGGUCGCGCGAGGUGGUUGUUACGUAUGGUUGCCCAGAGGCCGGUUCUUGUGUUGCCUACCCCCUCAGGGGAAGCGCGGUCCACUUGAUGUAAGCCUCCGUCCGGCGCCCCCAGCGGGCGCCGGAGGACAGCGGAGCACCCCCCGCGUUCCACCGAGCCCUCGCCGGUCGCGUGGCCCGCGGGGACGUGCGAUGCUCUCGGACCCAGCGCACGCCGUGGGCGGGGACUCGCUCCCCGGCCCCAAAGAGAAGCUCCCAUGCAAUCGCAUGACGGCCGCCCCCGCCCCUCGAUCGCCCCGGCGGUGCGAGGGCGGGCGGCGUCGCGUAGGAACGCUACCUGGUUGAUCCUGCCAGUAGUCAUAUGCUUGUCUCAAAGAUUAAGCCAUGCAUGUGUAAGUA
rnacentral:misc_RNA from 1 species